rnacentral:rRNA from 1 species
AACGAACGCUGGCGGCGUGCCUAACACAUGCAAGUCGAACGAGAAAGGGGCUUCGGCUCCGAGUAAAGUGGCGCACGGGUGAGUAACACGUGGGUAACCUGCCUCUAAGAUUGGGAUAACUCGUCGAAAGAUGAGCUAAUACCGAAUAAGACCACAGUUCCCGCGGGAACAGGGGUCAAAGGUAGCCUCUGCUUGCAAGCUAUCACUUAGAGAUGGGCCUGCGCACCAUUAGCUAGUUGGUAGGGUAACGGCCUACCAAGGCAAAGAUGGUUAGCUGGUCUGAGAGGAUGAUCAGCCACACUGGAACUGAGACACGGUCCAGACUCCUACGGGAGGCAGCAGUGGGGAAUAUUGCGCAAUGGGCGAAAGCUUGACGCAGCAACGCCGCGUGAGUGAUGAGGGCCUUCGGGUCGUAAAGCUCUGUCGGGAGGAACGAAUGCUCCUGAGGUUAACAGCCUCGGGAGGUGACGGUACCUUCAAAGGAAGCACCGGCUAACUCUGUG